UAGCCUUUGGGAUGAAUCAGUCCCUUGUAUCUAUUCUCCCUUGCGCUUCACCAUGUCAGCCAUCUUUACUUCUGGUUUUUGCUGACAAAUUUUUAGGGGAUAUAU